GGCGUGAAGACCUUACCCGACUUAGCUGAGAGGUGGUGCAUGGCCGUCGCCAGUUCGUACUGUGAAGCAUCCUGUUAAGUCAGGCAACGAGCGAGACCCACGUCCACAGUUGCCAGCAUACCCUCCGGGGUGAUGGGUACACUGUGGAGACCGCCGCUGCUAAAGCGGAGGAAGGAGUGGGCAACGGUAGGUCAGUAUGCCCCGAAUCUCCCGGGCUACACGCGGGCUACAAUGGUUGGUACAAUGGGCAUCUACCCCGAAAGGGGAAGGAAAUCUCUUAAAGCCAAUCGUAGUUCGGAUUGAGGGCUGCAACUCGCCCUCAUGAAGCUGGAAUCCGUAGUAAUCGCGUUUCAACAGAACGCGGUGAAUACGUCCCUGCUCCUU
rnacentral:rRNA from 1 species